AUGCUUUCAGCCAGACCCAGGGCCCUGUCGAAGUCGGAGGAGGAGCGUGGGGUAUCCAUCACCAUGGAGAAGUGGCUGAAGGACAAGUUUAGGGAGGGCGUCCAGAGAAUGAAAUCCCAGUUUGACCAACUGGAUCCAGACCAGACCUGCAAGGUGGGCCUGGAGGAGUUUCUGCAGGUGUUGAAGACCUUUGGCCUGAAUCUAAAGAGGGAGCAUGUGGGCUUGUUUUUGGCUCGCUGUGGCCUGGGACUCAACAAGACAGGUGUGAUCCAUUACCCAGAGUUCCUCCGCAUGUUUCAGGACCGCAGCGAGGAAGGGGUCACACAUAGGAUCCUAUCCAAUCCACAACACAGGAGCAUUGAUAAAUGCCACAGGAGGGUGGUGAGCCAGGAGGAGUUUCGAGCAGCGAUUGAGAGCAGGUAUUUUGUCCCUCUCCUGUUCCUCUCGUAUGUUUUGACUUUGUUGUAA
rnacentral:lncRNA from 13 species